AAUAAAGUGCCUGAUUAAAGGAUUAUCUUGAUAGGAUAAAUAAAGUAAUUGAUAUUACCUUUAUUA
rnacentral:tRNA from 1 species